rnacentral:rRNA from 1 species
UACGGGGGGAGCAAGCGUUGUCCGGAAUUAUUGGGCGUAAAGAGCUCGUAGGCGGUUUGUCGCGUCUGCUGUGAAAUCCCGAGGCUCAACCUCGGGCCUGCAGUGGGUACGGGCAGACUGGAGUGCGGUAGGGGAGAAUGGAAUUCCUGGUGUAGCGGUGGAAUGCGCAGAUAUCAGGAGGAACACCGAUGGCGAAGGCAGUUCUCUGGGCCGUAACUGACGCUGAGGAGCGAAAGCGUGGGGAGCGAACAGG